rnacentral:rRNA from 1 species
AUUGAACGCUGGCGGCAUGCCUUACACAUGCAAGUCGAACGGCAGCACGGGAGCAAUCCUGGUGGCGAGUGGCGAACGGGUGAGUAAUGUAUCGGAACGUGCCCAGUCGUGGGGGAUAACGUAGCGAAAGCUACGCUAAUACCGCAUACGAUCUAUGGAUGAAAGCGGGGGAUCGCAAGACCUCGCGCGAUUGGAGCGGCCGAUAUCAGAUUAGGUAGUUGGUGGGGUAAAGGCCCACCAAGCCUGCGAUCUGUAGCUGGUCUGAGAGGACGACCAGCCGCAUUGGAACUGAGACACGGUCCAGACUCCUACGGGAGGCAGCAGUGGGGAAUUUUGGACAAUGGGCGCAAGCCUGAUCCAGCAAUGCCGCGUGCAGGAUGAAGGCCUUCGGGUUGUAAACUGCUUUUGUACGGAGCGAAAAGGCUCUCUCUAAUACAGGGGGCUCAUGACGGUACCGUAAGAAUAAGCACCGGCUAACUACGUGCCAGCAGCCGCCGUAAUAC